GAUGAAGAACGUAGCGAAAUGCGAUAAGUAAUGUGAAUUGCAGAAUUCAGUGAAUCAUCGAAUCUUUGAACGCACAUUGCGCCCGCCAGUAUUCUGGCGGGCAUGCCUGUUCGAGCGUCAUUACAACCCUCAGGCCCCCGGGCCUGGCGUUGGGGAUCGGCGGAAGCCCCCUGUGGGCACACGCCGUCCCUCAAAUACAGUGGCGGUCCCGCCGCAGCUUCCAUUGCGUUGUAGCUAACACCUCGCAACUGGAGAGCGGCGCGGCCAUGCCGUAAAACACCCAACUUCUGAAUGUUGACCUCGAAUCAGGUAGGAAUACCCGCUGAACUUAAGCAUAUCAAUAAGCGGAGGA
rnacentral:misc_RNA from 1 species